rnacentral:lncRNA from 10 species
GUAGGAUGUAAGCUUCAACGACCCAACCAAGCUCAUAAUUUCAUGUUAACCGGCAACUCAGUGACAUCAGCCAACAAGUUCCCCUGUGGAAGGCACGAAAGAUGAAGAGACAGCAGCUUCCACCUGAGACAUGAUGAAGGGGCCGUGAUUAAUGCCCAGAAUGUUACUCCAAAGAGCAAUCUCUGAAGAACUAUACCUCACCAUCCUACCAGCCACACCCCUCCUGCUUAAUGGAACAAGUUCCCAUCUUCAUGAAGCUAAGUCAUCUCCAAGUAUUUUAAUUCUGUUGACACACUGAAUUCAUUGUUUUCUUUCAAGUAUCCAUGUCUCCUCUUGGAGUCCAUUAGAGCCUAUAAAUCAGAUCAUCCAUCCUCUCUGCCCUAGACUCAGAAGAACUUGAGGACGUGCUCUGAGGAAGGUCACUGUGAACGCCGAUCAUAGACAUGAAUGAAAAGAAAACAUUCCGGGCCCUUGGCAAGCAUGAGAACAACGUGGAGCAGGGAAAGGAUCCGGGAAGGAUGACACACACAAGUCUCAGCUAUUUCAAAUUUUCCCUGGGAAGACUUGCUUGGGAUAAUGAGGGGAAGAGACUCCUCUUUUCUAGCCUGCAUCACAAGCUCCCUUCCGCCGAGUCCCAAGCCUUGCUCGAUCAUCCGAAACUGAAGGUUCACAGGUGGAAGGGACCAGCCUUGUCUGAGGUUUAACAAGAAUAUUUCAGAAGAAACAAUGAAAAGAAAACCACAACUAUCUGAAAGCAAUUAUUUCCAUAUAACCAUGUAUGUAAACACACAG